rnacentral:rRNA from 1 species
GAUGAACGCUGGCGGCGUGCCUAAUACAUGCAAGUCGAGCGAAAAGACGAGGAGCUUGCUCCUCUGACGUUAGCGGAGGACGGGAGAGUAACACGUGGAUAACCUACUUAUAAGACUGGGAUAACUACGGGAAACCGGAGCAUAUACCGGAUAAUAUAUUGAACCGCAUGGUUCAAUAGUGAAAGACGGCUUUGCUGUAACUUCUAGAUGGAUCCGCGCCGCAUUAGCGAGUUGGUAAGGUAACGGCUUAUCACGGCGACGAGGCGUAGGCGACCGGAGAGAGUGGUCGGCCGCACGGGAACUGGGACACGGUCCAUACGCCUGCGAGAGGCAGCAGUAGGGAAUCGUCGGCAGUGGGCGAAAGCUUGACGGAGCAACGCCGCGUGAGUGGUGGAGGUCUUCGGAGCGUGAAACUCUGUUAUUAGGGAAGAACAAAUGUGGAAGUAGCUAUGCACGGCUUGACGGUACCUGAUCAGAAAGCCACGGCUAACUACGUG